rnacentral:rRNA from 1 species
GAUGGGCGCAGCCUGACCGAGCGACGCCGCGUGGAGGAUGAAGGCCUUCGGGUUGUAAACUCCUGUCGAGGGGGAGGAAGGGGAAACCUUGACCGAUCCCUGGAGGAAGCACGGGCUAAGUUCGUGCCAGCAGCCGCGGUAAGACGAACCGUGCGAACGUUAUUCGGAAUCACUGGGCUUAAAGCGCGUGUAGGCGGAUGGGAACGUCGGCGACUGAAAGCCCCCGGCUCAACCGGGGAAGUGGUGCCGAAACGACCUGUCUGGAGGGACGUAGGGGGACCUGGAACUUCCGGUGGAGCGGUGAAAUGCGUUGAGAUCGGAAGGAACGCCCGUGGCGAAAGCGAGGUCCUGGACGUCUGCUGACGCUGAGACGCGAAAGCUAGGGGAGCAAACGGGAUUAGAUACCCCGGUAGUCCUAGCCGUAAACGAUGGGCACUGGGUAGGGGGCUCGCCGAUGGGCUCUCUGCCGUAGCGAAAGCGUGAAGUGCCCCGCCUGGGGAGUAUGGUCGCAAGGCUGAAACUCAAAGAAAUUGACGGA